rnacentral:rRNA from 1 species
UACGUAGGGUGCGAGCGUUGUCCGGAAUUAUUGGGCGUAAAGAGCUCGUAGGCGGUGUGUCACGUCGUUCGUGAAAACCUGCAGCUUAACUGUGGGCGUGCGGUCGAUACGGGCAUCACUGGAGUUCGGCAGGGGAGACUGGAAUUCCUGGUGUAGCGGUGAAAUGCGCAGAUAUCAGGAGGAACACCGGUGGCGAAGGCGGGUCUCUGGGCCGAUACUGACGCUGAGGAGCGAAAGCGUGGGGAGCGAACAGG